UACGGAGGGUGCAAGCGUUGUUCGGAAUUACUGGGCGUAAAGCGUGUGUAGGCGGCUUGGUAAGUCGGAUGUGAAAGCCCUGGGCUUAACCCAGGAAGUGCAUCCGAUACUGUCAAGCUUGAGUCCUGGAGAGGGGUGUGGAAUUCCCGGUGUAGAGGUGAAAUUCGUAGAUAUCGGGAGGAACACCAGUGGCGAAGGCGACACCCUGGAUGGAGACUGACGCUGAGACA
rnacentral:rRNA from 1 species